rfam:Triticum aestivum genome assembly, contig: Triticum_aestivum_CS42_TGACv1_scaffold_133547_2BL
UAAAUACUCCCUCCGUCCCAAAAUUCUUGUCUUAAAUUUGUCUACAUACGGAUCUAUCUAUUCAUAUUUUAGUGUUAGGUACGUCCGUAUCUAGUAAAUCUAAAACAAGAAUAUUGGGACGAAGGGAGUAUACA